GCGAUCAUACCAGCACUAAUGCACCGGAUCUUAUCAAAACUCUGCAAUUAAGCGUGCUUGGGUGAGAGUAGUUCUAGGAUGGGUGAACUUCUAUGAAGUCCUCGUGUUGCACCCC